CAAAAUGACAAUGACACAAAAAUUGUGACAGAACUUAGCGGAGUACAUUAUUGUUUGAAACAAUAAAAUCAAAUUUCAUUUAACUAAAGAGCGGCAGAUUAUUGGCGUGACAGUGCAAGUACAGGUACUUGUUCAAACAAGAAUUCUUUUGUGGAACAAACUCCUAUGGUGCUUAAACUGAUUCCAACUUGACAACCUGACAAUUUUCUACUCAAAGCAAUGAGUCAUAUUAAGGUGUCGAAAGUAUUUGUUGAUCACUACUCAAAGCAAAAAAUCUGUGGGAUUUCCUUUUCUGAUGGUGAGUUCUACUUGCACCGAGUUCUUCUCCAUCCGUGCGUGGGAACAAUUCUGAAAGAAGGAAUACACCAUCAGCACAAAAAUUUAAGAUCAAAAUAAGUCCCUGGUGUUUCACGAACUAACUAAUCAUACCGUCAAACUUCCAAGUCACUGGGUACAGAAGUUUAUGCUCUAAAAUGGACGUGGCAUAUAGUGUUCUUCGGAUUCAGAUCAAGAAGCAUGGUCAAGUGACAUCCUACAGCAUGCGUGUGUGCUGCUUGAUCCAUCAAAUGGGGAAACAGUUGCAUGUAUGCUGACAAGUGCACUAACCUGCUACCAAUUGUUGAGAUUAUCACUGAGGUAAUCCGGCUCAAUGGAUCGGUAGGACGAACAGAUGGAUCGAGCGACAUAGUAUGUGCUAGCUAUCUCAUCACAUACGACAAUUCAAAUUACUAUUACGCCUCUGAAAUUGUAGCAAAUAAAGCAUUAGUACAAUGAAUUGCUAAGUAGAAAAAGUUAGCGACAAUAGAAGCAUGUCUGCUAUCCUGUUUCUUCGUAUGCAAACAUGGUAGAACUACUCCUGUUUCAAUGAAGCUUACAACUAAACACGACCUACACUAACGUCAGAUAACAGCACAUAGAGAAACAUUUCUUGGAUAAUCAUGAGCAAAGUUAAAUGAUGUGCAGAAGUUUACAUAAAAAAAUCUGCUACAAGAUUGGCAAAAUCCAAACUUGUGCAAGCUAGAUACAAAGAGUGAUUUGGCUGAAUGCUUAGCUAGCUAUGCUACUGAACAAAGUUCUCUAUGUAACCGAAGUUUCGAUAACAUACAGCAUGAAGCCAUCUCCACUUACCAAAGGGACAACCACUUGCAGCUACUUCAAGAGCUCCACAUUUCCAGUUCUAGUUAAUUCAAUGGUGCCUUCUAAUCCACCUCAAUUCCUUAAGAGCUAAGUUUACAUCUAAGCAGUGUUGUUCAUCCAAGAGCAAGAGCAUGGGAAGGGGGCAACCACCUUCUACUAUUUUCGGAUUGUGCGGGGUAAGAAGUUCAGAUCUGAAUUAGGAGGAGACACUCCAGGUAGUCCUCAUUGUGUAUAUGUGUGUACUGAAGUGGAGAGGCGUAAGCACACCGCAACAAUGUGAGGCUGGCAGAGGUGUCUCGUUCCACUCAGAGUGAGAUUUGAUCAGCAAUGAAACGUUGAGCACCAGAGGACAAACAAACGAGCAGAGCAGGUAAAGGUCACAGGCUCACAGCUUGGAUUCUUGAACCCUUUACUCUGGCAGGGCAGUAGCGACAGAGAAGAGAGAACCGAGGACGCCAGAAAUGGAGAAGGAAUGCACAGCGCAUGUGUACAAGAGCAGGACAGACUCGUUAACAGGGGGG
rnacentral:lncRNA from 1 species